CUAGUCCUACGGGGCGCAGCAGUGGGGAAUAUUGCGCAAUGGGCGAAAGCCUGACGCAGCGACGCCGCGUGAGGGAUGAAGGUCUUCGGAUCGUAAACCUCUGUCAGCAGGGAAGAACGGUCACUGUGCUAAUCAGCAGUGAAUUGACGGUACCUGCAAAGGAAGCACCGGCUAACUCCGUGCCAGCAGCCGCGGUAAUACGGAGGAUGCGAGCGUUAUCCGGAUUUAUUGGGUUUAACGGGUGCGUAGGCGGUCGGAUAAGUUAGUGGUGAAAUCCCGAGGCUCA
rnacentral:rRNA from 1 species